rnacentral:rRNA from 1 species
GCUUGGGAAUGUGCCUUUUGGUGGGGGAUAACAGUUGGAAACGACUGCUAAUACCGCAUAACGUCUACGGACCAAAGUGGGGGACCUUCGGGCCUCACGCCAAGAGAUUAGCCCAAGUGGGAUUAGCUAGUUGGUGAGGUAAUGGCUCACCAAGGCGACGAUCCCUAGCUGGUUUGAGAGGAUGAUCAGCCACACUGGAACUGAGACACGGUCCAGACUCCUACGGGAGGCAGCAGUGGGGAAUAUUGCACAAUGGGCGCAAGCCUGAUGCAGCCAUGCCGCGUGUGUGAAGAAGGCCCU